rnacentral:rRNA from 1 species
AUUGAACGCUGGCGGCAUGCUUUACACAUGCAAGUCGAACGGUAACAGGCCGCAAGGUGCUGACGAGUGGCGAACGGGUGAGUAAUGCAUCGGAACGUGCCCAGUCGUGGGGGAUAACUACUCGAAAGAGUAGCUAAUACCGCAUACGAUCUAUGGAUGAAAGCGGGGGACCGUAAGGCCUCGCGCGAUUGGAGCGGCCGAUGUCAGAUUAGGUAGUAGGUGGGGUAAAGGCUCACCAAGCCAACGAUCUGUAGCUGGUCUGAGAGGACGACCAGCCACACUGGGACUGAGACACGGCCCAGACUCCUACGGGAGGCAGCAGUGGGGAAUUUUGGACAAUGGGCGCAAGCCUGAUCCAGCAAUGCCGCGUGCAGGAAGAAGGCCUUCGGGUUGUAAACUGCUUUUGUACGGAACGAAACGGCUCUGGUUAAUACCCGGGGCUAAUGACGGUACCGUAAGAAUAAGCACCGGCUAACUACGUG